AAUCUAUAGCUAAUACGUGUAAAGAAAUGCAGUUUAUUGGUCGGAUGGAUGAAUAAGUUGUAGCGCAUAUUAGAUAGAAACAGAAGAAAAAGGUCCUUUUUAUUUUGAUUAAUAAUAUUCCAAGUAGAUCAUAUAAUCCUUUAGUAAAAUAAGGGAGAGAUUGAUAAACCGAUGAAAUUUCUGCCCUAUCAACUUUGGAUGGUAGUAUAGGGGACUACCAUGGUAAUAACGGGUAACGGACAAUUAGGGUUGGAUACCGGAGAGGGCGCAUGAGAAAUGGCGACUAUGUCCAAGGAUAGCAGCAGGCGCGUAAAUUACCCAAUCCUGUAGACAGGGAGGUAGUGACAACAAAUAAGCGAGACCGGUUUCCGCAAGGAAAAAGGUUUGUAACGAGAAUGAGAACAAUAACAAAUCCCUUAUCGAGUAGCAAUUAGAGGGCAAGUUCUGGUGCCAGCAGCCGCGGUAACUCCAGCAUCUAAAAGUGUAUACGAAUGUUGUUGCAGUUAAAACGCUCGUAGUUGGAAAUUAACAUUAUUAAGGGAGAGAAGGGGAAUAGAACGAAAUGUGAUAUUUUCUGAUUUUCAUUAAUAAUACUUAAAUUUUUUUUCUUAUUUAUUUGUAAAAAUGAUUAAGAAAAUAAUUUACUUUGAAUAAAUUAGAGUGCUUCAAGCGAUUGUUUAAAAUUUAGAAAUAAGUUUUAAUCCUUGUAUCGAUUGAAUAAGAAAGCAUGGGAUAAUAGAAGAGGAUUUGAAAGAACAAAAGAUUUUGGAUUUUUUUCAAAAGAAGAGUGGUUGUUUUAAAUAAUGAUAAAUAGGAACGGUUGGGGGUAUUUGUAUUGAAUAGUCAGAGGUGAAAUUCAAGGAUUUGUUCAAGACAAACAUCAGCGAAAGCAUUUACCAAGGACGUGUCCAUUAAUCAAGAACGAAAGCUUGGGGAUCGAAGAUGAUCAGAUACCGUCGUAGUCCAAUGCCAUAAACGAUGCCGACCAAGGAUGAGAGGUAGAAAGAAAAGUAGAGAUUUAUUCAUUCAUUGUUGGAUUCUUUUUUUUUGUAAGAAAAAGAAGAAGAAAGAAAGAAAGAGUAGAUAGAAAAAGAAAAAGACUCCUUUUGAAUUUUUGAGGGAAACCAUUGAGUGCUUGGGUUCUGGGGGGAGUACGGUAUCCGCAAGGCUGAAACUUGAAGGAAUUGACGGAAGGGCACCACAAGGUGUGGAACCUGCGGCUUAAUUCGACCCAACACGGGAAAACUCACCAGGUCAGGACAGUAAAAGGAUUGACAGAUUAAAGUUCUUUCUUGAUUUAUUGGUUGGUGGUGCAUGGCCGUUCUUAGU
rnacentral:rRNA from 1 species